GACGAACGCUGGCGGCGUGCCUAAUACAUGCAAGUUGAGCGAUGAAGAUUGGUGCUUGCACCAAUUUGAAGAGCAGCGCACGGGUGAGUAACGCGUGGGGAAUCUGCCUUUGAGCGGGGGACAACAUUUGGAAACGAAUGCUAAUACCGCAUAACAACUUUAAACAUAAGUUUUAAGUUUGAAAGAUGCAAUUGCAUCACUCAAAGAUGAUCCCGCGUUGUAUUAGCUAGUUGGUGAGGUAAAGGCGCACCAAGGCGAGGAUACAUAGCCGACCUGAGAGGGGGAGCGGCCAGACUGGGACGGAGACCCGGCCCAAACGCCUACGGGAGGCAGCAGUAGGGAAUCUGCGGCAAGGGGCGAAAGUCUGACCGAGCAACGCCGCGUGAGGGAAGAAGGUUUUCGGGUCGUAAAACUCUGUUGGUAGAGAAGAACGUUGGUGAGAGUGGAAAGCUCAUCAAGUGACGGUAACUACCCAGAAAGGGACGGCUAACCACGUG
rnacentral:rRNA from 1 species